rnacentral:rRNA from 1 species
UACGUAGGGAGCAAGCGUUGUCCGGAAUCAUUGGGCGUAAAGCGCGCGUAGGUGGCUUCGUAAGUCCGUUGUGAAAGUCAAAGGCUCAACCUUUGAAAGCCGAUGGAUACUGUGAAGCUAGAGUACGGAAGAGGCGAGUGGAAUUCCUGGUGUAGCGGUGGAAUGCGCAGAUAUCAGGAGGAACACCGAUGGCGAAGGCAGUGUUCUGGGCCAGUACUGACGCUGAGGAGCGAAAGCGUGGGGAGCAAACAGG